ensembl:snRNA U1 U1 spliceosomal RNA
AUACUUACCUGGCAGGGGAGAUACCAUGAUCACGAAGGUGGUUUUCCCAGGGCAAGGCUCAUCCAUUGCACUCCGGAUGUGCUGACCCCCGCGAUUUCCCCAAAUGUGGGAAACUCAACUGCAUGACUUGUGGUAGUGGGGGACUGCGUUCGCGCUCUCCCCUG